rnacentral:ribozyme from 1 species
UCUGUCGGUCGGUCCUAUUCUUCGGGUGCUUUCUGGCUUUCUACUAGGCUGGUCGAUCGACCUGAGCGUACAUCGCACAACAAAAAAAAAAA